rnacentral:piRNA from 1 species
UCAGCCUGUAAACAGUAUCAGGUCUCGCCCAU